rnacentral:rRNA from 1 species
UACGUAGGUGACCAGCGUUGUCCGGAUUUACUGGGCGUAGAGAGCGCGCAGGCGGUCUUUCAAGUCGAGUGUGAAAGCCCCCGGCUCAACUGGGGAGGGUCACUCGAUACUGAUCGACUUGAAGGCAGGAGAGGGAAGCGGAAUUCCCGGUGUAGUGGUGAAAUGCGUAGAUAUCGGGAGGAGCACCAGUGGCGAAGGCGGCUUCCUGGCCUGUUCUUGACGCUGAGGCGCGAAAGCUAGGGGAGCAAACGGG